rnacentral:lncRNA from 1 species
UGUGGCCCCCAGGUUGCACCCACCUUGGCUUAGCUCCACAGCUUUGCAGAGACCAGUGCUUGGGGAUGGUGACGCCUCCCAAGAUGCACCCUUCUCCCCAGCCCCAACUCUCCCUCCCUCCCACCAGCCUGGUACCCAAAGAAGUUGCUCUUCCUAUCCCUGCUGAAAGGUGGCACAACCCUCACUUCCCAUCCAUCUCAUGCCCCCUUUCCAGAAGGCUCCACUGUGUGGGAGUGAAGCAGUGGCGACGGGCAGCAGCGCUUCGUGAUCCUGAUUUCUUCCACCCCAGGCAAGAAGUGCCCACCAUGGGUACCACCACCACCCCCCCGAGGACUAAAUGAGCAGCAGGGAGUGACAAACAGUCAGGUGCACCUAAGUUCCAGCCAAGCUCUACCAUCGACACUCUAUGACUUGGGGACCCCAGGGAAGAUGAUUCAAGCAAUGCUGAGGAGGCUGCACUCUGCCCACCCACUCCAGCCCAAUCAUCCAAGGGAAAUGCCAAAGCUACCCCACAGAGUAGAAGGUUGCCUCCCCGCCA